ACCUAAUUGGUAUGAGUGAAGCACAACAGGAGAUAGCAGCUAAAUUUGUAUGCAAGAGUCAGGAUAAGAAGUAUGACACUGACAGUGAAAGCAGAAAACAGCAAGCCAACAGUUCAGGACUAGUCAUUCGAAUGGACUAAAGUUCAGUGUACUCUUCCUGGAAAAUGCUUCUUCAAACACUAUGGUUUCAGUGAAGUUAUAAAUAAUAUCAUGUAUCUUAUCAACUGCAGUCCCCUCUCCUGCCUUUAGUCUCCAAGAUAAAUACAGAAUAUAAAAAAGGGUGUUCUUGUCUGUUUUUAAAUUUUAACAAAUCAGCAGCUGGCGGUUUUCUUGGUGCCUAUCUAGCAAAAAAGGAUGAUCGAUGUCCUACAACUUUGCUUCAGGUCCUGGGCUGCUGCAUGUAAACCAUGUGAAUUCCCACAGCCAUCCAACACAUCAAUCCCCUGACAACAUAUGGGAAAUGUCAACUGGAAAUGGAGAGGUUUCCACUUGGAUCAGAAAUACUCCUGGAGUUGUGGAGGCUGAGAUGUCCAGGAUCAAGGGGCAACGUCCAGUAAGACCUUUUCUGCUGGCAGGGAUAGUGAUGAAUCCCAGGGCUGAACAGGUAAUAUGUUAAGUGGUAAGUGGGCUGAGCAUGCUAGCUCAGGUUUCUUUUAUUUUUAUUGUUUUUAUUUUUAUUGAUUUUUAUUCCAAUGAUUUCUGGAGAAAAAGUGGUGUUUGGUUACAUGGGUGAGUUCUUUAGUGGUUAUUUUGAACAUUUUGUUGCACCCAUCAUUCAAGCAGUAUAACUGUGCCCAAUGUGUAAUCUUUUAUAUCUUACCCCUCCCUCCUUUGUUUCUGAAUCCCUCAAGUCCAUUUUAUCA
rnacentral:lncRNA from 1 species